CCACAUACCUCGUGUUGCUGUUCGGGAAUAAUAGUCUGUUGAUGGUUCAGACACAAGUUCUUAAGAGAAACAAUAAUUUAAGAAUCAAAUUUGCAGGUAUGUCAAUUUGGGAUCUUUAGAGAAACAAUAGAAUAAUCUUAUUUAUUAUCUUUUUUUUUACAAUUAUUGUCCUAUUUUAUAACUAGAAAAACAAAAUAUAUUGUCCUGUGGCUGGGUCAGGAAUAUUAUUAUUUUAAAAUAGAACAAUGAAUUUUUGUAAUGGUUACUGCAUAGCUAAGUCAAGUGAAGCACUAAAAAAACAACAAAAUUUUGUUUUACCCUAUCAUUUAUUAUUCAUUCCAAGGUUCUAACCAUUAAUUCCUGCUAUUGGAAAUUAAAGGACUAAAAAGUUUAUGAAUGGAAGUGAGAAUCAAUAUUAUAGAUGUUACUGUCCAGCCGGCAAUGCCUUGCUGCUGUUUAUAUCCUAAUAUUAAAGGACUAAAAAGUUUACUUGGCACUGAUGAAGGAAUUGCAUUGCUCCUAUGAUAUAUCGCUAUUUGGACAUGUGAAAGUUGAGAGAUUAUGAUGCAACUUUUUUAACACGCCUUCAUAUAUUUUGUUCUUGCAGUUGUUCCUCCGUCAAAUGUAACAAAACAGCCUUUCCAACCAAAUGAUGCAAAACUGAUGAAGAACUAAAGAACAUUGAUGUUAGUUUAGCAGGAAUUUGGCCGACAAUCAGAGGAUGUCACAGGUUUAUGAUAAUUGGAAAUACUACUGAAUUUAUUUGUUAUUAAGAGGAAUUUGGCUGAAAUCCAAUGAACAGGAUGUCUGAGGUAUCUGAAUUUAUUUGUAACCUUUAGAAUUUGCUAAUUAGGAAAACUUAGAUAAACUCUCUUCUUCCUAAAUUAUUUGCAUGUUCAAAUAUAUAUAUCACUUUAAUUGAUAGGCGUUUCAUAACCUUCUUGGGUUUCACAUCAUUUGAUUAGUUAUCAAUUAAUGAAAGCCCUUUGACCAAAACAAGCAGGACUCCUUGGGGAAAUGCAGACCUUUUCUCAAGCGAAAGAGUUGAGCUGAUUCAACCCCUAAUUUCUUAGGCUUUUGCUUGGAUGAGCUUUACAUGGGUACCCUUCCAUUGCACCGAAAGCUUUUGUCUUUCAUACCAUGCUUCUAAUUCUGUAUAGCUUGUGGGUCUUCGGCAUCAAAGUCUGUCUCUAUUAUUGAGAUUCCUCGAACUUUCUUUAUUAUGUUUGGGAAUAAUCACUUCUCGAUGAUAGUUAAGCUAGAGUUAUGUAUUUAUUGUUACGCUAGAGUUAUGUAUUUAUUGUGAUAAUGUAGCCACACUUUUAUAUUGUAGUGAAGUUUUUCAGUGGACUCUCGAGUCCCGUGGUUUUUACUCUUUGAUUUAAAAGGAUUUUCCGCGUAAAAAUUGUCUCGUGAUUGAUGCUUUGUGAUUAUUCUUGGCUGCUUCUCUGAGAAUAUUUAAAGUUAUUUGUGCUCUCGUAAUUGCCGGAAAAAGCUGAUGUUAUGCUUGCAUCUCUUCGGGUUGUGGAGCAGAGCAAUCUAUAAAAAUAAAUAAAGAAUAAAACAUUAUCAAACAUGAGAAGCUGCAAUACAGUGAUAAAACCUAAAAAACUAAACAACACAAAAUUACCAAAAGUAGUAGCUCCAAUAAGUGCAGAAGAAAGCAUAUGAGAUGCUUAUAAAGCAAGUUAGAGAUGAGCAGAGCAUGCAUUACAAUUAUGUAUAAUGGUAGGCAAAUUAAAGGAAAUGAAAGAUCUAGUAUCCCAAUAACUAGACCGAGUCAAAGUUUGAUGAAAGCUAGAUGUGGAACGGCAAAGUUACUUUACUGAUUGGCCAUCAAAUAAUCUUACUAACAACCUUUAUUCAAAGAAAUUUAUGAUAUUAUCUACUUGCCACUCCCAACACGACAGGUCUUUAAUUCUUCUAAAGCUUCUUAUUCUUAAAUUCUGUAUCACUUUCAGUCCCCCCCCCCCAACCCCCAAACACACGCUAAAAACAAGGACUGUUGCACUCUAGACAACCUAUAAUUCAGAACCUACAGGGCAAAUACUGCCCAAAAGCGUCGAGACUCAUUUUGAUAAAUUCCUAUGAAAAAUACAGUGGCUACAAGCAACCCUUAUUUUCCUCCUGUUUAAUAAAACUGUAAACUUUGUUAUUUAUAAGACAACAUGUACAAGCUAAAAAUCAAACUAAAUAACAAAAGAACCUGUGAGAUUCAAAGAUCAAUAGAACAAAAUAAAGUAUGUACCUUCCCUGUCCAACCACCUAACCAACGACUUCUGAAUCCAUCGGUGACAAAUGGACUUGCAUUACUUUCCCCUGCUGCAUAUAAAUGAAAGAAAAUAAAGGACCUUUAAACAUAGCGAUUAUAUGUUUAGAAGAAAAAAAAGGGGAAAAUAUAGAUAUUCUCACCAGCAUUCUUCAGAUCACAUAAAUCAGAACAAUGCAAAUCAGCCUGAGAUUGAAGAGAAACAUCCACUUUUGAAAAGCCAACUCUCCGAAAGUGUACGAGAAUCAGUCAUCCAAAAGAAAAAUGGUAGAAAGCCAAUCCGGUUCUUUCAAAUCCUAAGACUCCAUCUUAACUAAACCACUAAUUUGGGAAAGAAAAUAGUUUUACAUAUCUUGUUUUCUUCUUUAUUGAGUUUAGCAUGGGGAAGUCAAUAGAAGAUGAGACUCAAGUCUUUUACCUCUGCAGUUGCUGAAACAUGUGAAAUCUCCUCGACCAUCUCAUGCAAAAUUGGAUCAGAGUUUUUUGAGCUAGAAGUUGGAUAAUCAGAAGGUUUAUUUUGAGGAGAAAAGUCUUCUGCAUUUUCAAUUCUAUCCCCACCCUGAAACAAUCUUCAGAUACAGGAGAGUCUUUGACUAAAGAUACAUCUGAACCACAAGCAUGCUGAUUAUUAAAGCAACUAAAGAUAAUCCAACAUCUUCAAAUGCAUCAGCCAUGGUUAAAUCAUCCAAAUCCGAAAGAAAGUCCAUCUCAUCACUUGUCUCAGUUGGGCAAUCAAAUGCGUCUUCUGAGCUUUCCAGACGUGCUUGCUUAACCCGAAGGGCAGCUUCAAGUACUGCUGCUGUAGGCAAAGCUUCUGCACCUGAGUCACUCUUCACUAAUUCAUGUAUUACUAAAGCUUCUGAUGCGGCAAUAGAGAGUUCGACUGCAUCUUUAAUAUCAGUACUUUUGAGGUUUCUGACAGUGACUUUUUCUAUGGAAUGCUCACUGCCAUCAUUGGCGUGAUUUGAUGAUUGUCCACCAAAAUUCUCUACAUCUCUUGAGAUGGAAAUCAUAGGCAAGGCAUUUACUGCACAAGAACUAUCUAUAGUUUGCAUCAAGGCAGUCUUUUCUCCAACAUUCUCCACAUCUCUUGGGUUGGAAGUUAUAGGCAAAGCAUUUACCCCACAGGCACUCUCUUCAUUUUGUAUCAGGGCAGUCUUUUCUGCAACAUUCUCCAUAUCUCUCGGGAUGGAAAUUAUAGGCAAAGCAUUUGCCCCACAAGCACUACCUUCAUUUUGUAUCAGGGCAGUCUUUUCUCCAACAUUCUCCACAUCUCUUGGGAUGGAAAUCAUAGGCAAAGCAUUUAACCAACAAGCACCAUCUUCAUUUUGUACUGGGUCAUUCUUUUCUCCAGCUGGUAUUUCAAUUUGUGGUAAUUGCAAAACAUUUUUAGAGCCAUGCUGAGUGCAAGCUGCACUAAAAAGUUGACUUUGGUAGUACUGUGAAUCACCAUCUGAUGACAGAUUUAGACGGAAAUGAAGCACCUACAACUCAUAAUGCAUACCAAUCAGGCCAAAAAUUCCAUUCAAAAAAUUCAGGUUCCUAACUAACAAACUUUAAUAUUAAAUGAAAAUAUGUUUCAUAAGUAAAAUCUUAUCGAACAAAAUUUCUUCUGCAAGUCUAACCAACAGAUAAAAGUUAUUUCUAAUUCAUAAAAAAAAAAAAAAAAACCCACCUCAAACCCUAAUUUUCUUUUCUAAUACUAUAAAACAUAAAUAAUAGAUAAUAAAAACAACUUACAUCCUUGGAAGAAGGAAAAGAACUAAUUGGCGAAUUGUCUUCUCCUGAUAAGAUUAAACAAAAACGAUUACAUCGAAUAUUUUCCUUUGGCAGCAGCAAUUCUGAAUCUUCACCUUCUAUACAUGAAAACUCCUAUUUCAAAAAGUAAAAUUAUUAUUUCACCAAAUUUUAUGCACAACAGUUUCAAAUUUCAACCAAACAAGAUAAAAUUAUCAUCUGGCAAAUAGAAAAGAAAAACUUAAAGUUACAUGAAAACUCAGAAUUUCCAAAAGUAAUAACGACAACUAUUUCAACCAAAGUAAGUAAAAUUAUUUUCUUGCGUAUAUGAGAGAAAUGCUCAAAAAGAACAAGAACAAAUCAAAUUGUAAAAACGAAUCCCAAAACAGAAAACCUUAAAUUGUUGGUGAGAAGGGCUUCUGGGCUGCACUGCGGAACCUGUUAUUCGUUGAAGACAAGCUGGAAGCCAAGCCAAUUCCUAUUAUUACAACAAAAUUAUUUGGUAUUAUUCUCUUAAACUCAGAAUUAAUGUUAAUUAAUUAACAGAUUAAAAGUAGAAAUAAUAAAGGGAAAAUAUUUAUCUUCAUUUGCUAAGAAAAGAAAACUUGAAGAAGAAAAGAAAUGUUCACCUCGGAAAAUUGGGGAGGACGAAACCCUAAGCUUCCCAUUUGGACCCCAAUCAAAUUAUAAACAGAUUUUUGUCGCACUCGCAACUCAUAAGUAUCUUUUAUGAGCAUUUUCGCGCCAAAAAAAAUCAGGCUAAGUAGGGUGAAAAUAUCUUUUAGGGAUUGAAUUAAAAUAAUCCUUUAUUAUUGAAUAGGUAUCUAAACUUAAUAAUUAUGUUGAACUUAAAAAAGGUAAAAAUAUCACGACUCUGAAUUUUAUUACAUUAACCCCAAAUUUUAAUGGAGUUAAAAUUUAUUAUUGGCUUACUUAAAAAUACAUCUCCUAAAAUGGAAUUUAAAUUUAAUAUUUUCCUGUAAGUUAUUAACAAAGACCGUUGUAGACCUGAAAAAAUGCCGUCGACUAUUCAUUGGACCUUUUUACUCGAAACAGAAAGACAUCGUUCAUACUUUACUACUUAUCUAGUUGUCGUUCCAUAAUGGAACUUACUUCAGCUCCUCCUCCCGGGGUUUCUAAUUCUAACCCAACAACUUUUUCAUCCUUAUCACUAUAUUUAUUUCUAUUAUGUAAAUCAAUGAAAUUUAAUAAUUUGCCAAGGAAAUUUUAAAAAAUGUAUAAAUUAUUACAAAUGUAUUACUUAAUCAAUUAUACCUCAAAUACAUAUGAUUUUACAAACUGAUCAGAUUUAAAAAACAAAAUAAAAAGCUAAAAUUAUUUAAUAAACAUAUUUAUAAAAUUUGAAUAAAUAAAUAAAUGAAUGAGACAUUAGCUAAAAUGAUAACUAUAAUAUCUUAAAUUCAAAUAUGGAGUAUUUUUUAAAAAAAUAAAAAAAUUAAGAUAUCAUCAAAAUAAUAAUAUUACUGCUUAAUAUAUAUACUUUCAAAAAUAUUCUUCAAAUUGAAUAUCAUAGAUAUUGAGUAAUGGAAUAAACAAAGAUAGCUGAAUACAAAUACGAACAAUCCAAUCCAAUAAAUAAAGCAAACUGUGUUCAAACAUUGUUGAAGAACAGUAUCUAUGCGCUGCAAAUGUAUUCAGUAGCAGCUUUUCUUCCAUAGUCUUUAUUGAGUAAGAGGUUCAAUGAAAUAGGGAGGUUGAGGUUAAUGCCUAACACAUUAGCUCUAAGGGCAGUGCAAAGGCAAACUGCAGCUUCAAUAUCUGCCAACCCAUGGAUCAAACUGCAGCAAACUCAAUAGGUUAAGACAUACAGCAAGAUUCAAAGGAUCACAUGUACCAAGUUGGCCUGGAGUGUUUGGAUAUAAAUCUUCAGGAUGAAUAAAAACAGGGUUUCUCAAAUCAAUAUUUAUUUAAUUGAAUUUUUUAAUCGAAACAAGUAAAUGUUUAUAUAUCUCCAACUGUAUUGUGUAAAAUAUUAUAUAUAUGUAUAAUGAGUUUGUGGUUUUUUUAAAGAAAAAUUAAAACUAAUGAAAAAUAAAAUAAAAUUAUAGGUAUACAAGUUUUUUUAUUUUAUUUAAAACGUAAGUUACCAAUUUACAAAUGAAGUAUCAACAUUUUUUUAGAAUGUCGUUUUCGUCCAAAACAUUUUUUUUAGCCUCAUAUUGAUAUAGCGGUGUUUUAGUUUAUAAGGUGAAAAAUAAAUUUUAUUUAAAUUAUCAUAAGAAAAUACUAUAAUUUAUAAUCUCCAUCAAUAAGCUCGUUGAGUUUUUUUUGAGUGUGUCACUUUCAAGAGGGUUAAAAUCACUAUUUAUAUGAUAUUAUUACUGUUCACGGAUAUGACGUCGUAGGUAGGUCCCAUGUAUGUCUACACAUACUAUACUCUAAGACUAACACAUGUUUUCAAGAUGUGAGUUCGUUUGUAUGGUUCUACAAAUCCACAUCAUUUGAACUCAUAAAGGAUGCAAACACUUCAUGUGCAAACUUAAGGUGCAGGUCAAGAUAAAAUCAGGUACUCGGGUGGUGGGUCGGUAAUGACGAGUUCCAUAACAAAACUUAUAGCAUUGCAAUUCAUAAAUAUCUUGUUCUAUUAAUUAGAAAUGCAUUUUUAUAAAAAAAAUAUAUUAAAACAAUAAGUAAAGAAAUUAUUACAAGAGAUGAGAGGGAAAGGUUGAAGAGCCUUUCCUUCAUGCAAAAACUGGCAAGAAAUGAAUCAGCGAGACAACCCAACAACCACUCAGUACAUCGAAGAAUAAUAAAAGAGAAUCGCUGUGAAUGACGAUAUUUAUGGAGCACAAAUAUAUUCGGUAGCGACUCUUCUUCCACAGUUAUUGAGUAAGAGACUCAGGGCUAGUUUGGAUGGGCGGUGUGUUUACCUCCGGUGAGGUUAAAAACAGCGGUGGCGGUGAGAUUAGUUACUGUAGCGGUGAUAUUGAGUACUGUAGCGGUGAUAUUAGAAACAAUGGUGGAGUGUGUGUUUGGAUUCAAACGCAGCUGUAGCGGUGAGGUGAGAAUGAAAAAUGACUAUUAAGGACAUCAGAUUAGAAUUGAUAUAUAAUAGAAGUUAUUUAAAUUAUUUUACUUUUUUUAAAAUUAUUAAAAUAUGCAAAUUCAUUUAAUAAAAUAUUAAAAUGUAUUUUCCAAUAUUUUAAUGAAUUAUAUAAUUAAUUUAAAUUAUUUAUUAGAUAAAAUGAUAAUUAUUUUUAAUUUUUUUAUAGUUAUAAUUAAAUAUUUUUUAUAACAAUGAUAAAUAUUAUUUUCACAAAUAAUAACAUUAUACUUGGAUCAAAUUUUGAAGUAUCUAAACGGAUGAUUUUUAAUAAAAAAAAUAUAGUAACAUAAGACAUAACAAGUUUCAUUAUUACUAGAAAUUAGGUUAUGAUACAAAAUGUGUUUACAAAUAUUGAUUCAUUAAACUAGUUGCAAUGGUUUCCCUUAACAUUGUGAUUUCAAGGUCACUUUCUCUGUUAGAAGAACUCGAUUCACCUCUGUCAAACUGGCUUGAAGAGACUGGCAUGUCCGGUAUAUUCUCAAAUUCUCGAAAAUCCUCAUCAUUUGACCAAGCAUGUCUUCGAAUGUAAUUAUGCAAAACCAUUGUUGCAAUAACUAUUAAAACUUGCUUGUCGAAUGAAUAACUUGGAAUAUCUCUUAAUAUUGGCCAUUUUUUUUCCACACUCCAAAUGUUCGUUCAAUCACAGAGCGUAACGAAGAAUGGGCAUGAUUAAAGAUUUCUUUUUUUUCCAGAUACUUGAUGAUUACCUCGACGAAAAUCAGGUAAAUGAUAUCGUUCCCCCCUAUAUGGACCUAGAAAACCUGCCAUUUGUGGAUAUCCGGAAUCCACAAGAUAAUAUUUUCCUGCAAAAAAAAGUAAAACAUAAUAUCAAGUUCAAAAAUAAAUUAAAAAUUUUAAUAUUUUUUAUGUAAAAAGUAAUUAAAAAAUUAAAGUUCGACCUGGUGGAGGGUGUGGAAACUUCAACUCUUGCUUUCUAAGUGCUUGCAAAAAAAUUCUACUAUCAUGUGCUGUUCCUUCCCAACCAGGAAAUGCAAAAAUAAAGCACAUGUUUAAGUCACAAGCUGCCAUAAUAUUUUGAGUUGGUUCACCUUUCCGUCCGAUAUAAGGUAUUUGAGAAGAAGGCGAAAUGCAUGCUUUUAUGUGUGUUCCAUCUAUGGCCCCAAUACAAUCCUUUAAAAUAAAUACAAGUAAUGAGAUAAAAGUUAGAAAUAAUUUAUGUUUUAAAAAUAUAAAGAUUGUGUAAAUUUUACCUUAAAGUGAGGCCAAUAUCUUGUAUCAUGUCGAAUAUGGUUCGGUACUUCCUCGAAUUGACCUUCAAUGGGUUUAAUCGUGUCUAUUCCCAUUCGAGCAAAUAUAUGCAACAUAUCAGUAAAAAUUCGACUAACAGUUUCCCCAGAUCGUUGAAAUCGCUCUGUUGCAUUUGAAUUUGAUUCUCUAUUUCCAAGAAUGUACAAUGAUAAUGCUAACUUCUCCAUCGCCAAUACUUUCCUAUUCUUUAAGCCAUAAUUUGUUUGCAAAUCAUGCAACAAUCUGUGAAAUAUAUUUUUUGGCAUCCUAAAACUAAUCAUGCAACGAUCAUCGUGCCCAUUUAAUACUUCGUCCACCCACAUUUGACCAGUAUAAUUUGAAUCCAUACGAGGUUGCAUAGUGAAACAAGUUUCAUGGUGUACCAAUACACUGCUUAACACAUAUUCUUCCUCAUUAUGAUAAUUGUUGUGCUCAACUUGGGUAACAAUUGUGGCUAUUCUUCGUUGAGCUUCUUCACUUAAUUCAGAGGUAUCAUAAUUCAUAUCAAAACUAUUAUACAUAUUGUUAAAUUCAUCCAUAACCUGAAAAAGUAAUCAAAUGAAAGUAAAUUAAUAUUUCGUGACAUUCUAUACAACACAGAAACUUGAUUAAAAGCAUAGCAUAAAAAUACCAAACAUAAAAAGUAUCAUAUGUUAGUUUUACAAAUAAAAAAGUAGUAUAGUUAUAUUACAAUAAUAAUUCUAAGGAGCUUAUGGUGGAGGUGGUUGAUGGUAUGGUUGGAAGGGAAAUGAGGAUGUUGCUACCAAGGACGAAAAUGAUGCAAUUGGAUUUUGUUCAGCAUACUCGCGUCGAAGCCACCAAACCCUAUCAUCUGGAUCUAAGUUCAAAAACACUUCUCGUUUCAUCGGUAUUUGGAACAUUUUGGUGGCAAAAUAGUACAGUUCAUCUUUUUUUGGAAUUUCAUCUCCCAAAGCAUGCAAAGCAUCUAUUGCAUUUGAAAUAGUAUAUUGAGAGUGUGGAAAAAUAAUUUCAUUCACUGACUUCCUUGGACUAGACAUGCUCUCACACAAUUUCUCAAUCUGGGUAGUUAAUGUAUUUCUUGAUGGUUUUCUACUUGAACUUGAUUUUUUUCCUUUACCGUGUACAACCCCAAGUGUUUGCUUUCUUCGAUCAGAGAUUUCAUGAAAAGGGUUUGAUGGUACCUUAUCAGGAGGAAUACCUUCAUUCUCGUUACUAUGUUCAUCUGAAUCACCAAAUCCCUCAUUAGGUGCAUCAUCUCCCAUAGGAACCCCACUUGGAAGAACACCAGACGAAGGUGCUCAUGCGUUCUCUCUAGUGGCUACAAUGCCACCAAACAUUUGCCACAUUAACUCAUUCAAUCGUGGUUCAAUUCCUUUAUUCUUAAAUCCUUUAAAAUCAGGAUUUUCCUACAUAACAUGUUAAAUUUAAAUGUUAUACUAAGAUUUUUAUAAUUGUAAAUUAUUAAUUUCAAUAAACUUUAUGCAUUAAAAUAAUGAUAAAGUUAACACUAACCUGUAUUUUUGCAGCCCACCAUUCUUCCGUAGCAUCGACCGUCUUUUUAGAUGGACACCAUCCAAUACCUGUAGAUUCUUUAAGCAACUCCCUCCAUAACCUCCAUUCCUUUUUUAAUGUAUCCCACUUAUUUUUCAAUUGAGGUUUUCCAUAAUUUUUUUGUGUUUUUGCUUGAAAAGAGCAAUGACAUUUUCCAUCCUUUUGAGUUUAGANNNNNNNNNNNNNNNNNNNNNNNNNNNNNNNNNNNNNNNNNNNNNNNNNNNNNNNNNNNNNNNNNNNNNNNNNNNNNNNNNNNNNNNNNNNNNNNNNNNNNNNNNNNNNNNNNNNNNNNNNNNNNNNNNNNNNNNNNNNNNNNNNNNNNNNNNNNNNNNNNNNNNNNNNNNNNNNNNNNNNNNNNNNNNNNNNNNNNNNNNNNNNNNNNNNNNNNNNNNNNNNNNNNNNNNNNNNNNNNNNNNNNNNNNNNNNNNNNNNNNNNNNNNNNNNNNNNNNNNNNNNNNNNNNNNNNNNNNNNNNNNNNNNNNNNNNNNNNNNNNNNNNNNNNNNNNNNNNNNNNNNNNNNNNNNNNNNNNNNNNNNNNNNNNNNNNNNNNNNNNNNNNNNNNNNNNNNNNNNNNNNNNNNNNNNNNNNNNNNNNNNNNNNNNNNNNNNNNNNNNNNNNNNNNNNNNNNNNNNNNNNNNNNNNNNNNNNNNNNNNNNNNNNNNNNNNNNNNNNNNNNNNNNNNNNNNNNNNNNNNNNNNNNNNNNNNNNNNNNNNNNNNNNNNNNNNNNNNNNNNNNNNNNNNNNNNNNNNNNNNNNNNNNNNNNNNNNNNNNNNNNNNNNNNNNNNNNNNNNNNNNNNNNNNNNNNNNNNNNNNNAAUAUAAAAUGUUUAUGUUCAAAGAAGCAUAAAAUUAAUACGUGUAAUUCACAGGAAUUUGACUCGGCGGAGCCACUGAGGGGGAGAAAAAAAAAAAGAAAGAAAAAGUCUUUCGUUCUUUGUAAUAUUGGCGUAGGCAAAAUAAAUCCAUUAGGCUUCAAAGAUUGAAACUAAUCGAUUAUGGCUUCCUUGGAGAUUAUGCAGGUCAGUUCGCUUCUUUCUUUGUUUAAUUCUUUUUUUUUCUGAUACUUUUUUUUCUGAUUAUUUGAAAUUCAAUGUGAUUUUAAUAUAGGAGCAAGGCAGUUUUUCAUUUAUUCUUCUUUUUCUGUUAUAUUUUUGUGAAUAAUAUUUGGUGAAUAUGUUUUGAUCUCUGUUGUAAUUUGUUAGAUUUAAUCAUAUUCAUUUUUUAUGUAAAUUUUUGUGGAUUAAUUAAUGGAGUUUUUUUUAUAAAAAGAUAUGUAGGCACGGAUCUUUCCUAGCUUUGCUAAAAAAAGUAUGAGGCAUUGGUUAUAUUCAAUUCCUCAUAUGUUGAUAGAUUGGUGGAUUGUUAUAUUGAAAUUGUAUCAAAUCCAGUGGUUCUAUGUUCUACCUUCAUGCUACUGAGUUUGCAGCAAAUUUUUUUGGGUUCAUUUUUCUAUUUCUCAGGUAUCUUUGGUUAUAUUUCUGCAUGUUCUAUCUAUACUGGAAUUGGUAAUUAUAUGUUUGUUGAAAUUCCGCUGAUUAAGGUAGUUUUAUUGGAUUGUAUUUUAAAUGUUGGUGACUAUUUGGGAGUAAAUUGCAGGCGUUUGUAUCGAUUGGGAAGGAUGAUGGAAUUAAAGGGUACUGAAAGGGAAAUCUUCCUCAGGUUCUUUGUAGUUUUUACUUCCACUCUUUAUUUUGGGAUUGGAUUUCGAUAAUGUAAUUGUGAUAGUUUACUGAGCUGCUGUUGACAUUGAUUUAGUACUAAAUGGUUCAGGUGAUAAGAGUUGUACCUUACAGUGCAGUCCAGCUCUUUGCUUAUGAAACUUAUUAGGUAAUAAAAGAAUAUGCAUAAUGUAAUCUUAGAAUUGUAUUGAAGCUUAUUGCGUGUCCCUUGAUGGAGUUAGUCAUUUGAUUUCUAGUUCCUAUUGAAUUCUAGAAACUUUUUACGGGAAAAGAUGGCGAGCUAUCUGUUCUCAAAAGACUUGCUGCUGGAGCUUGUGCUGGCAUGACAUCUACAUUUGUAAGUGAUUCAAUAAUCAAGUGUUCUUAUAUUAUUGUUUAGUGCAAGUUUUCUGGUUAUGAAUAUAACUUAAGUGAUUUUAGUCUAAAAUUUGCAUGUUCAUUAGUUUUUUUAGGAGUUAAUCAGACUCAUGAAACUUUGGGCCAAUGGUGUGUUGUGUUCAUGUCAUUCGGGGUGAAAGAGAUGGAUUUGGAGGAAGAUGAUGCUAUUGAUGGUGGUUUGUAGUAUGUGAGAAGAGCGAUAACUAGUUUUCAUUCAAUUGUGGUAUGUUUUAUCCUUAAAUAAGUCACUGUGCCUGGCAUUUAAGUUUCCCGCUUUACAUCAUUGACAGGAAUGGAUCGAGGCAUAUGGGGGCAGUUCACUCCUCAAAACAAUUUAUAAGGCUCUAGAUUAGGUGAGUGUAUGUUCGAAAUGACUAAAUGCAAGUCUCAGCAGCUGGUAAUUUUAAAUACCCGAUUAUGCAGGUUGUGAAACUCUCAGAGUGCGAAAUUUAUAGUUAUAAUCCUCACUCUGAUGCAGAUCCCUUUCUGGAGAAAUGAUCAAUGUAAGUGUGUAUUAUAUUAAUACUUUAGUGAGUAAUCAGUGGACCAUAAUUGUUCAGUAACUGUUGUGGAGUUAUAUUUUCAGAUGGUCAUUCAGUUUCUUCUUCUACAAUAGGAAACUAAAGCGUGUAGUUAGUUUAAGCUUUUGCUGCUUAAGGUGGGUCUAAUUGUGUUCUGUGAUAUUUAUAGUUAUGUGUAACUUGUGUUAGGCAUGAAGUCAUAUAGCAAACCUGCUAAACUUGUUCAUAUUACUACAAGCUUUUGCUGUUUCGUUUGUUUAGUUGUGCUUUGUUUUGUUUUUGAUAGUUUUAGUUUUUGAGGGUUUGAGACAUGAAUACAGCAUUGCUGGAGACAUGAAUAUGGAUGGUAUUAUUACUGAUUUGUUUUUUUAUUUUAUCAGGUCUCUUUCAUUAGAUAAUAAUGUUUUAAUUAUGUUGAUUUAUAUAGGUUAGAAGGGAGAAAAUCAGUGAAAGAAUGAAGUAUCUGCAAGAUUUAGUACCAGGAUGUAACAAAAUCACAGACAAAGCUGGUAUGCUGAAUGAAAUCAUCAAUUAUGUUCAAUCUCUUCAACGGCAAGUAGAGGUAAAAAAAUAAUGGAGAAAGAACAUAUGGAUUUGUGUUUAAAGGAAAAAACAGAAACUACUUUCAUACAAUUCAAACACAUAUAUAGAGUAGAAAAAGAAGGGUUUUCACUUACCAGAUCAAAGUUGAGAACAAGAUUGAUAGGAUGAGUAGAAAAAUAUAGCUUCUUUGAGAGUCUGCUCUACUGUUACGGUGGAGUUUUGUUACUGUCAAUUGAAGAGCAGGGUUUUUUGCAUUUUGGGAAUGAAAUUAACUUAAUUUUUAAGGAUAAAAUGGUAAAAUAAUAAAUAAAAGUAAGACUAUUUUUGUCUGUUAUAAUGUCAACUGCUCAGUUAGCCUCAAUGAAAUAGGAAGGUUGCGUUUAAUGUCUAACACAUUAGCUCUAAUGGCAGUGCAAAGACAAACCGUAGCUUCAAGAUCAGCUAACCCAUGGAUCAAACUACAGCAUGGUUAGGUUGGUACGUUGCCGAGGUUGAGAUUCACCAAACCACCCAACAGAUUAAGACAUACACCAAGGUUCAAUGGAUUACAGGUACCAUAGUAGCUAUGAGUGCUACCAUUGUUAGGAAACUUGUAUCCAGGAAACAACAGGGUUCUGAGAUUUUGUCGGAUAAAAGAACCGUUUGAAUUAUUAUCGAUGUUAUAAGAGCUAACUAAAGCAAAAAAGAAAAGGUUAAGAGAGAAAAAUAGAGCAGUCGAUGCCUUAACAUUUGAAGCCAUUUUUUCAAUAGAAAAUUACGAAUCAUAAUUUAUAUUUAUUUACGUUGAUGAGUAGGUGAGUGUGAGAUUGUAAUCAUUCAGGUAAAUUAUUAAAUUAUUAUUAAGUUUACAAAAAGUUAUAAAAUGAUCAUUAAACUAUCAGAAAGUUUUUGUUUAUGUUAUUAGAUUGUUAAAAUUGUCGUUGUAUGAUAAUCUCUGUUCACACCCCCUGCACCAAUUGAAAACUUUUUUUCUCCUUCUCUUGUAUAGUUUAAUUUUUUUUAUGAAACAACUUUGAACGUUAAAAAUUUGAGAACCAAAAUCCAAACAAUUUUUUUCGUUGAUCUCUGACACUAACUGUCAGAUCAAUUUAGAUUUAAGGUAUGUUAUUCUACUCGUUGAUGGGUACUGAUCCACUAUACUGAUUGUCAUGCCUAAUUUUUUAAAGAAAAAAACCUUAAUAACUUAGUGACUUAAAUAAAAAUUUAAAUUAUGUAUAAUAAUAUACUUAUUUAUGAACCAAAAUCCAAACAACUGACGAACUGAUCUCUAGUACUGACAAAUUGAUGAUUAUAAAUUAGAUUAAAAUAUUUAUUUUAUACUAUAUAUUUUUUUCUAUUGUGUAAAUAAAUUAAAAUUAAUAAUUUCUAAGGAAAUUUUAAAUAUAAAUAUAUAAAAAAUUAUUACAAAUGUAUUACUUAAUAAAUUAUAUAAAUAAUAUAUAUGUCAAAACAAACUCAAAAUUUAACAAAGCAAGCAAAACACUAAAACCUUAACAAGGUUUUGUAUUUUUCUUUUAGAAAAGAAGUUUUAACGGAGAUAAAAGAAAAGUUGCAAAUGUUAAAAGAUUCAAACUUUACACAUAAUAAACAUCACUUUUUAAAGAUGAUUUUAUGAAAAAAUUGAAAUAAGUUCCAAAUUCCAACCAAGCUUAAGUAAUGAAUUUGUGUUUUAUUAUGGAAUAAUGAAAUGAAAAUCCCAUAAAAAAUAAAGUAUUGCUACUGUUGGGGUCGACUUGUAUAAACAACGAAAUAAUAAAAGUGAGGAAGAACAAAUGCAAAUAUUUUACGUCAAAAACCCUCAAAGAAAAAAAAAACAGGAAACUAAUUAAAUUAAGUUCUUUCUUUGGCCUAAUUAUCGAUUAGUAGAUUUAGCUUGGAUGAAUCAAUAUUGGUUUAAUAGCAGCCGUUUCAAUAUGAUAAGGAUCUGUAUGGAUCCGCUUCUGAAAAUUCGUUAAUGGUACAUUUUUCCUAUAUUAUGUAUGUAUCAUGUCGGGCUUAUGAAAACAAAUAGAUGGUCACAAGGAUUGUCUUACAUUUUAUUCUGAUACACGAUACUAAUUUAAUGACAUACAUAUCAAUUAGAUAGACAAAUGAAUCAACAAAAUCCUAUUUGAACUCUCAAAUUUUCUGUUUUGUAGAAAUCUCUCACUCUUUUCUAUCCCUAUACGAAUCAAAUCAAAACCCAGAUUGAUUUAUUUUUUUGAAAAAAAUAAAUAAAGUUCAUAAUGAACUUAAAAUCACCGUGUAUAUAAAAAUGACCGGUAUUAUUAUUACUUAUUAGUAAAAUUAGCAUUCAAAAAAGGGGGGAAAUUUUUUGGUUUUAUGGCACAAAAUUCCUUCAUCUCAGUUAUUUUUCAAGAAAAAAGAGAAGAAAACAGGGGAUCUAUUGAAUUUCAAUUAGUUAGUUUCACCAAUAAGAUAUGAAGACUUACUUCACAUUUGGAAUUGCACAAAAAAGACUACUUAUCACAGAGAGGUCUACGUAAAAUUCUACAAAAACGUCAAUAACUGCUAUCUUAUUUAUCAAAGACAAAUAAAAUAUGUUCUAAAGAAUUAAUUGGUGAGUUGGAUAUUCGAGAAUAAAGAAAUCGUUAAUUAGCAAAUUUUGAAUUAGUCGAUUUAUUAGAUUUUUAUUUUGAUGUACUUGUUUUCCUUUUCAACAAUUCAUGUAAGAAUGAAUCGAGCAAAAACUUAUGAAUCUAUCAGCUACAGAAAAAAGACCUUAUAAUAGUCAAUAUGGGGCUCACCACCCAUCAAUGCAUGGUGUUCUUCGUCUCAUCGUUACUCUAGAUGGUGAAGAUGUUGUUGACUGUGAAUCAAUAUUAGGUUAUUACACAGAGGAAUGGAAAAAAUUGUAGAAAACCAAACAAUUAUACAAUAUUUGCCUUAUGUAACGCAUUGGGAUUAUUUAGCCAUUACGUUCACAGAAGCAAUAACCGUAAAUGGACCAGAACAAUUGGGGAAUAUUUAAGUCCCUAAAAGGGCCAACUAUAUCAGAGUAAUUAUGUUGGAGUUGAGUCGUAUAACUUCUCAUCUAUUAUGGCUUGGGCCUUUUAUGGUAGUUAUUGGUGCACAAACCCCCUUUUUUUCUAUAUUUUCAAAGAAAGAGAAUUAGUAUAUGAUUUAUUUGAAACUGCCACCUAUAUGACAAUGAUGCAUAAUUAUUUUCGUAUCGGAGGAGUGGCGGCCGAUCUACCUUAUGGCUGAAUAGAUAAAUGUUUUGAUUUCUAUAAUUAUUUCUUAACAGGAAUUGUUGAAUAUCAAAAACUUAUUUCGCGAAAUCCUAUUUUUUAGAACGAGUUAAAGGGAUAGGCGUUAUUGGUGGAGAAGAAGCAAUAAUUUCUAUAUAUACCAAGACUCAUUUUUUCUUUUACACACCCCAAGAAUUCUCAACUUGUUUGUUCUCUCUUCCUUUUGAAUUUACAAAGUAUUUUGUGUUAUAAUUUUAAAUUUUUAUUUCCUAUUUUAUAAUUAAAAAAAUUAUUGAAUCACAGAGGAUACACUAUACAAUGAAAUACCCUUACAAACAUUGUCAGACAUGCCUCAAAUUAUUCAGGAAAUUACCACCCACAAAUAGUGCAUUUCAACCUUUCUUAAAUCAGGAAAUUUCUCAUAAUGAAAAACUACAAGAUUUUUGGCUUACAACACCAGUAGUUUGAAAAACAAAAAGCAAAAAGAUUUUAUCUUACCUUUCUUUCUCCUAGGGGUAUUUUCGGCACUGUUCUAAUAAAGAUUUUUUUAAAAUUAUAAUAUUUUUAUUCUAAAUAUAUUUUUUCUAUUUUUAUAGAAACAUAAUUUUUAAUUACUUUUUCCUAUCCUAUGAAAGUUUUUUAAUUUUCUAUUUUCUAGAAUAAUACUUAAUUUACAAAAUACAUAAAGUAAAUUUAUAGAACUUUUAGAAGGGUUAAUUAUGUAAUUUGGCUCUUGAACUUGUCUCAAGUUACCUAGUUGGUAUCUAAACUUUUUUAGACCUAGUUGGUAUCCAAAGUAUUCCGUCGUAUAGAUCGGUAUUUAUGCACUAACAUGGUUAGUUUGUGCUGAUGUGGCCUUAUUAGUUAAUCUGAUGGUGACACGUGGUAGUCUCUUACCAUGCUAUGUGACAAAUAAAAAUAAAAAAACAAAAUAUAUUUAAAAAUAUAUAAAUUAAUAAAAAGUUUUAUUUGUUUCAAGUCAAGAAAAAACCUGGAAAAAUAGCAUCAAUUUGUCCAUAUUUGUUCUAGAUGUAUUUUUCAGUAAAUUUAUAUAUUUUUAUUUUUAUUUAAUAAAAUAUCAAUUUUAAAGUUAUUAACGUUUUGAAAAAUAUAUAAAAUAUACACGUUAUCCAAAUGCUUUUUAAUUUAGACAACGUGUCUAGAUGCAUUUGAAUUUGGACAACGUGUUCAAAUUCAUUCUUGAUGUCAAAUAUUUUUUUACUCUUUUUAUUAAUUUAUAUAUUUAAAAAAUUUAAAAUUUUAUAUAUUUUUAGUUUCAAAAUAAUAAAAACAACCUAAUGUUUUAUUAAAAUCUAAAAAUAUAUAAUUUAUAUAUUCUUUAUUUCUUUAUCAUGAUAUCAAUUUUGUUUCUUCUGAAAUAUAAUACGAAACACACUCCACGAAAGUUAAAGAAGGAUUCCAUGUUUUAACCUACACUAGACCAGUUCAAAAUCUCUAAUUUUGUGCUUGGUUUCUGUAGUAUAUAAUAUAUAUAGAUUUUGUAGUAUAUAUUAUAUAAAGUAUUUUCAAAUAAAAUAUAUUAUUAUAAUUUUAUGUUAUUUAUAAUACAUAUAUACAUUCAUACAACAAUAGUAUAGACAUAUAAUAUGUAGAUAUAAUGUGGAAAGGAAAAAAUAAAUUAAUAUAAAGAAAGGAAUGUUGUAGUAUGUGCCAUUGAUUUUAAUAGAAGUCGCACCUUUUUAUUUCAAAUUUAACAUUAAAAAAGUUGUUUCUUAUCAUGAAACAUUAUAAUUAUUUGGCUUCGUUACUUUGUGAAUAACUGUAUUACGUCAUAAAGGGUCAUUUAAGUAAUUAUUCAUGUGCUAUAAAUAGACCCUUAGAUUGAAGACUUAAAUGAAUUUUAGAAAUAUUUAAUAAUAAUUACGUUGUUCUAAGCUAAGACAAAGAUAUUGUAUACCGAACUAUUAUUUCUUGAUUGUCUUGCAUGAUAGAGGAGAAAUAAAUAGUUUCUAAAUGUCUUAUCUUUAUAACUUUAUAAAAAAAAUUUGCUCUUUUAUUAUCACUCAAAAUACCACAACUUCGCCAUAUAAUUUGAAAAUUCUACCAAGUUCAUGUCAUUAUAUUCUUAUGGGAAUCUUGUUAACGAAGACCAUUGAACAACCCCUAUCUAUUUUUCUCAAAAGUUUCAAUAUAAACUACUGAAUGCAAUAGCUUUCAAGAAGUUUUUGGACAUGGAGUUAAAAUUGCUUCACUUGUUUCAAAGCAAUUCUAGGCUUCUGGUCUUUAAUGGCAAUUCUAAUGUGUUAACCUUAUAAACUACUUUUUUUUUAAAUAAUGAAUAAUAAUUCAUAUUAGAUUAUAUUGUUGGUGCAUGGAGAUAAAAAUAAACUUACGAGAAAUUAAUAAAAGUUUCAAGGUGUGUAUCAAUGCCACUUUUUUAAGGUUUUAUUCUCACCCACCUAUGUUAUGGUGAGCAAAAGAGUCACUGUCAAAUGAACCUCGAUGAUUGAUUGUCUACGCUUUGCACUGGCGAAAACAAUCCAUUAAGCAUUGAGCAAAGCAUAGCAAUGAUAUAAUUUCUAUAAAAUUUUAUACAAUAAUUCUUUACAGAAUAAUCUAGGAAUAUAAAAGAUGGUGAGAGAAUAGAAAGAAACUUAGUUCCUAUGUUUUUGGGUAUAUCCUACAAAUGAAAUUCAUCUCCUAUUUAUAGGAGGUCUCAUGUCUCUUCAUAGAGACACAACUACCCAAAUGAAUAGUCAUAUAUUUAUCCAUAAACAAAAUUAUUCAAUAGGUGCGUAUUUACUUGAAUAAUUAUGAUCCUUUCUUAUUAAUCAAGUGGUAUAAUUUGAGUGGACUCUCAAGUCCUGUGGUUUUUACCCUUUGAUUUAAAGGGGUUUUCCAUGUAAAAAAUUUGUGUCUCGUGCUAUUGAUGCUUUGUUGUUUGUGUUUUUUUUAGAGAAUAUUUAGAGCUAUUUGUGUUGUUGUAAUAACCGAGAAAGAGUUGUAGUUAUGCUUGCAUCUCUUCGGUUGUGGAGCAGAGCAUUCUAUGAAAAUAAAUAAGGAGUAAAACAUCAUCAAAAUAUCAAAUAUGAGAAGCUGCCCGGUUUCACCUUAAUAUUUCAAAAUUCGAGUUGGAAGAAGAUGGUACGUCCUCAAUUAAAGGCUAACUUGGAGGGCUUUCGAUGAUUUAUAUUCAUUUUCACAAAACUCAGGUUGGCAGAUUUCGUCAUGGAGAGAGAAACAUGGCGGUCCAAGGGAUGAAAACAAAUGUGCAAUUAAUUCCCUAUUCUUGCCAUUAUUCCAUGGAACCAUACACCAUCGGAAAAUAUCUCCUUCGAGUCCUUUGACUUGAUUUGCUUCUUUCGCAAACCCAACACCAUAAAGGAGAAAUGCUGCGACAUAUACAACUCAAAUAUUCACUUCUGAUUCAAAAUAAAGAUGCUUGAACUACUGAAAGAGGAUUGUACUUACGUCAAGCAUAGUUCAAAUUUCUUGACUCCAAUUCUCAGAAAUAGUACAACUUGAACCCAGAUUUCUUACGAUCACAGCAUGCAAAGUGCUGAAAGGAAGAAGCUUCCCUCCUUACUAUCCAGUUACUUGGCCGCAAUAAAUAUAGGAUUCAAUUUACAGAUAUAUAAAACAGAAAAUUAAAACAAGGGGAGAAUUGAGUAGCUACAAAAUUGUUAAAAGUUAAACCAGAUUUCUUACCAAAUAAUUUUUUUUUAAAAAAUUAUAAAAAAAAGAUAUAUUAAAAUUAAUAUAGAGUUAUAAAAAUUAUAAAUAAAAAAAUCAUAAAAACUUGAAUUGAACCGGUUAUCCUUAAAUUGGUAAAGGAAACAGUCCGAGAAAAACUAUUAGACUGGCUGAUCUGGAACCCGGUCAUUGAAUCAACUUUUUUGUUUUUUUUUAAAUAUUUUUAUCAAACCAAAAUUUAUUUAUCAAACUAUUGGCACACAUAUUUUAACCAAGGUUUUCAAAAUCAGAACCAAUAGUCAAACCUAUCAAACUACUAGUUUGUUAAUUUGACUGAUUUGUCUAAUUAAAUAAAAAAAUUCAAAAAACAAUUAUAAAAAAUCGAUUUAAUUAUCAAAUUCCCAGGCCAACUAGUCUAAUAGCUUUCAUCGAACCAAUACCUUUGUCAAUUUCAAUAUAAUCAGUCCAACCAACUGGUUCGAUCUAGUUCAAAUUUUUAUGAUUUUUUUUAUCAUUUUUAUAAGUUUAUAUCAAUUUUCAUAAUUUUUUAUAUUUUUUUAUCAUUUUUUGAAAAAAAAUAUUAUAUUAAAUUAGAAGUCACCACGUGUCACCAUUUGUUUGGUGCGCCAAUUUAUUUCAACGGUAAAUUUGAUCAAUAACAAAAAUAUUUAAUGGAGGGGCUUAAUUGAUUUUUAAUUAACGGUAAGAGCUUAAUUGGGUGCAUAUUUAAUACAGUGAUGUCGCGUUUAGCUCAUUGGGACGCCAUGCAUUGCAUCAUCGAGACUACAAAUUCUUCUCGUUAGAACGUGGUAUGUCAUAUCAUUGGGACAUCGGUUCUUUCUCGUCAUGAUGUUGAUUCUAUUUUUUUUCAAAAUGUGAGAUGCACUCUACGAAGAUUAAAGAGGAUUCCAUGUUCCAACCUACACAAACCAACACGAAAGAUUAGACCUGUUCAAAAUCUCUAAUUUUAUGUUUCAUUUCUGUCGUAUAUAAUAUAUAUAGAUUUUAUAUUUUAUAGUAUAUAAAAUAUUUUCAAAUAAAACAUAUUAUUAUAAUUUUAUGUUGUUUAUAAUAUAUAUAUAUAUAUAUAUAAAUGUGGAAAGAAAAAAGGAGAUUAAUAAAAAGAAUGAAAUGUUGUGAAAAUGUGCCAUCGAUUUUAAUAGAAGUCACACUUUUUUAUCUCAAAUUUUUAGUUCAAAAUUUGAUGUUAAAAAAAUAUGCCUCACCAUGAAACAUUAUAAUUAUUUGGCUUUUUUUUAAUAGUUGGAAAAGGGUUGCUUAAGCACGGGGCAAAUCUAGAGGUCUCGGAAGAGUUCUGAUUGCUUAAAAAAAAAAAACAUUUAUUUAUUUUUUUAAAAUUUUUUAAAAUUUUAAAUUAGUAAAAGUAAAAUUUAAUUACAUUUUUAUUAUUGUAGAAUUUAUAAUUUAAUUUGACUCUAUAAAAAAUUUUCCUACCUUCGCUCCUGCUUGAACACUUAUUCGUGAGCUAUAAAUUGGAGACUUAAAUGUGUCUUUUCUUAUAAAACUUUUGAGAAAAUUUUUUUAUUUAGUGUUGUCCGGAUUCGUUCCGAUUUGUUAAAACAUGUCAACACAGUUACAUUGUUCUAAUUCGAAAUAAAGGCAUUGUAUACUAGAAAUAAUAUUUCUUAAUUAUCUUGCAUAAUAAAGAUGAAAUAAAAUAUUCUUAAGAUAUUUCUAGGUAUAUCAUCUUACUUUUAUAAUUUUAUAUAUAUUUUUGUAUCCAUCAACUUUUAUUAUCCCCAAUGAUUAAUAAGAACGGAUUUCCUCAUAUACAUUUCGAAAUACCAUUGGGUCUUUUAUUAUCACUCAAAGUACUACAACUUCACCAUAUAAUUUGAAAAUUCUACCAAGCUCAUGUCAUUGUAUUUAUGGGAAUAUUGUUAAGGAAGACCAUCGAACAACCCCUACCCAUUUUUUCUCAAAAAUUUCAAUAUAAACUCUUUAAUGCAACUCUUGAUGAACUUAAGCUUCCAAGAAGUUCUUAGACAUGGAGUUAAAACCUCCACUUGUUUCAAAGCAAUUCUAAUGUGUUAACCUUAUAAACUACUUUUUAAAAAAUAAUGAAUAAUAAUUUAUACUAGGUUAAACUCCACUAAAGUUACUAAACUAUUAUUAAGUUCGUGCUUUGAUUACUCAAUUUCAAGAGAUUACAAAAUGAUCAUUGAACUACUCGAAAGUUUUCAUUUAAAUUUUUAGGUUGUUAAAAUCAUUGUUGUGUAACCUUUUUUGUUUGCACCGUUAGUACAAAUUUGCUAACCAAAAUCUAAACUUUCUUCUUCAAUUUUUGACACUAACUAUCCGAUUGAUUUGGAUUUAAGGUAUAUUCUUCUAUUCAUCAAUAGAUACCAUUUCACUAUACCAUUUGAACUUAUAAAAAAAGCUUAACAAUCUAAUAACUUAAAAAAUAAUUAUUGAACUAACUAAAAUGUAAACUUAUUAAUAAUUUAGUGAUAUUCGGUAUAGUUUACCCUUUGUACUAAUAAUUUUAUAUACCUACUUAUUAAAAAAAAAUCUUUCUUUUCUCCUUCUCUCACCUUUUUUCUUGAUAGUAAAACUUUUUUUAUUAGUAUUUAAUUAAAUUUAAGUAAAGUAUUAAUUUUGUAACACCCAAACCCGGCCUAGAUGUUAUUGUCAAAUCUGGAGAGUUAUAAUAAACUACUUUGAAAAUUCCUACCUUUUGUAAUUAGAAUUCAAACAAGCCAAAUCAUUUAAACAGUUAUAAGUAAACCAUAGAAAAUCUCAUUUUUAAAACGACAAAUCCAACAAGUUUGCAAAAGUAUAAAUCCAAAAUAAGAUAGUAGAAAGUCUAAACAGAAUGAUUGAGCUCCUGACACACCGAUCCGUCUAAGUCUGUGGUUACCAGAAAUUCAAACAAACAAAUUAAAUGAGUUUACAAACUUAGUGUAUAACUUGAGUGUUCAUUUAAGCAGAAGUAAAUUAGAUAUGUUUUCGGGUUUUCAUUAUUCAUAUAGUUCUCUUAUUUAGAUGGUUCUCAUAGUUAGAUGCAAAAUCAGAUUUAGGAUAUUUCAGACACAAGUGCAGGUCAUAUCAGAUGUAAAUGUAGAGCUUGUCAAAUACAAAUGCAGAUUCCUACCCCCAUCCGCUACACACCAUCUCCAUCCAUCCCUAUAUACCAAAUAAGGUAUCAAGUACCUGUUCAUCCUUACACACUGCGUAGUGACUGUAUGUCAUGUUUCAAAGUAAUUGCAGACUAGCUGCUAGUUCAAAAUGCGAUAAAUAGCCAGAAUAAAAUAUAUAUACGUGGCUUAGCUACUAGAAUUGACAGAUUAUUAAACUGCCUACACUUCCUUCUUUACCCGAAUCCUAACCCAAUGUAGAUACAGAGAUGCACACACAGUAAUACAAAUUCAUAUCAUAUUUAGAUAUUAUAGAUCAUACUCACUUAGCAGAUAUCACAUUGGAUAUACAUACAUAUAACAGACUUUUCAUCAUCAAAUCAUCAGAUAUCAAGUUAUAUAGCCUAAUUCAGAUCAUACGGACCCUACAGAAGGCCUAUAUUUGAUUUGAAUGAAAUUUACGACCCUAGGGAAAAAUUUAAAUUUAAAUUUUACGAAAUAACACAAAAAUUAUAUUUCCUCAUUGAUUACACAAAGACUCAAACACAAGACUGAAAGGUAUACAAAAGCUUAACUAUUGAACUAACAAGCUCAUUUUUAACACAAAAUCAUAUAAAAUUAAACUUAAGUCAAAAAGCUCAAUGAUAAAAGUUUAGACAAACAAAUAACAAAAUUUUCUAAAAAUGGGACUUGAUCCUUAGAUCCAGCACAUAAUUAAAACCCUAAACUAUUGAAACAAAAACUAAUUAUUAAUAGAAUCUAAAAAGCAAAGGUUGAAUUUUUGGGCGUUACAAAUUUUAUUCUUAAAAUAAUAAUUCAAAUGGAGCCAACCUUACUUAAAUUUAAAAAAAUAUAUUUUCCAAGAUCGACCAGAGCAGGUUAAAUAUAUGGCAACCUAUAUAUUCUAUUCAUCAAUAUUAUUUUACAAGAUGGACUCGGUUCGAGAAAGGUGAGUAUACAAUUAUGGGUAAAUUUUAUUAAUCCAUUUUUAUAUUUGUGAAUCAAUUUUAAUUUUUUGUCUACUAAUAUUAUCGAUAUUUAAUAUUUUAGUCUUUUUUCUAUUAAGACAUUAAUAGAAUGUUGACAUGAUUUUUUUAUUAACAUAAUAAUAAAUUUGGCUAUAUAAUAUUUAUAGAUUCUAUCAAUUUAGUCUCAAAUCUAAAAAAAUUCAAUAAAUUUUAAUUUUGCAUAUUCUAUCAAUUUAUUUUUAAUUCUAAAAUUUUUAAAAAAAUAUUUAAAAAUUCAUAUUUUUGAUAAAAAUACAUUUUUUAAAAAAUUUAUUAAAUAAAUAUAUAGUUUUCAUAACAUGCUACUUAGCACUAACUCUAAAACCAAAAAACCAACAUCUACAUACAAUUAAUCGCACAAAAUUUGGUUUCACCAAAAAAAUUACCUAAACAAUAGAUAAUAAACAACUCAUCUUAAUGAAAGUUUGUCCACUAUUAUUCUUAUUUAAUCAAGUCCUUGGUUGAUUGAUAGAUCCAAGAAGUAUCUAAACCAUGGCCGUUAGUUGAAUUGGAUUAACAAACUACGAGGUCUAACUUCUCAAAGUCUAUCACGUAAAUUAAGUGUUAGUGUUUGAAAUCCGUGUAUUGGUAUGAUAGUUAGGGUAUUUAUUGCCUUAGGUGUGGCCUGAGUUCAAAUCGCACUAAUCGCAUUGUUGUUAAUGCUUUGCUCUCCUCUUAAAAUUCACUAAAAAAAAGUCCAUCGCAUAAAGAGUAGGCGUGAUUUAGCAGUGAUAGUGAAUAUUAAGAAACCCCUAAACCUUUGUUUCCUCCACAAUUGCUUGGAAAAGGGCAAAGAAAAAAAAAAGAGAAGGACAAUUAAUUGUUGCGCCAAACUUAAAUCGCAUAAGAAAAUUUGUGAUAUUUUAAAAGAAUUAAAUCUCAAAAACACAUUGAGACAUUUACUUAUAAGUCAUUAUGUUUUAAUGGACUUGUAACAAUUAAGUUGAAAGGGUAGACUCGUGCAUUAGAGUAAAAAAGCUAGGGUAAUAUAUAAAUUUAUUAAAAAAUUUAAAAAUUAUAAAUAUAUAAAAGAACUAAAAUUACCCUAAAAUAAAUCAACUAAACUUUUAUAAAUGUAUAAAAAUAUUUAAAUAUAUAAAAUUACUAAAAAGUAUGUUUAGAAUGAAUCUAGACACAUAGUUGUCCAAGUACAUUUGAAUUUUGACAGCGUGUCUAACUGUAUUUGAAUCUAGACAAUGUACCCAAAUUCAUUAUUGAUGUGAAAUUUUUUUAUACUUCUUUUUAUUAAUUUAUAUAUUUUUAAAAAUGUAAAAUUUUAUAUAUUUUUAAUUUGAAAAUAAUAAUAAUAAUAGUAAUAAGAUUUUAUUAAAAACUAAAAUAUAUAAAUUUACUAAAAUACACAUGGUAUGGAAUGAAUCUAAACAAAUGGGUGUUUAGACUCAGAUGUAUCUGGACAAUAAUUUGUUCAAGUUCAUUUUUUAUGGGAAAAGUUAAUACUUUUUUUUUAUUAAUUUAUAUAUUUUAAAGAUUUUUUAUUUAUGUUUACCACGUGGCAUGCUGAGAGGCUACCACAUGUCACCAUCGAAUUGACUAUCAUGUCACGUAAACCUAAACUAACGAUGUUAAUGCAAUAGCAACUUGUGUGAUAGGAUACAAGUUCACAUAUCAAGUAGGUUGAAAAAAUAAAAUUUAGGUACUAACUAGGUACUUUGAGAUAAAUUUAGAGGCAAACUAUAUAUUAACCAUUUUUAGAAUUAUAAUUAAGUUGAUAAAAUAUAUAAACAUUAAAGUACUGUUUGGAAAGUCACUUAAUAAUUUGAUUUGAGUGUAAUUACUUGCAAUUAAACAAUAAUGACAUGUUUGGAUAACUAUUGUAAUUGGUGGGUUCCACUAAACUAGAUGUAAUUGAAACACCCCAAUUAUAUUUUCAAAUUCUAGCGGAGGGUGAUAAUUAGAAUAAUUAAAUAAGUAAUUACACCCAAGUCCAAUUAUAAAAAUAUAUUUUUAUACAAAUUAUAAAAAUUAUAUUAAAGUAUGAAUAUGUAUGAGUGCGUGGGAAUUAUAUAGAUAAAUUUUAGUGUUGUAUUUUAAAUUAUUUAUUAUAUAAGGGAGAAGUAAAUAAUUAUCUUACUUUGUCAACGUUUGUGGGUGGAAAUUACAACGAAAAGGGCUGGCUUUGUCUUUACAAAUUAUUGUGCAGUAAGAUUCCCCCAAUCAAGCGACAAAAGCAAGAUAGCACUUGUGUUUUUCAGUACCUACAAUCAUAUACCAAACUUCAUUCACUUCCAUCGACCUUUGCUCAACCCUCUUUUCUCAACCUUUCUCUACUCUUAUUUCUUGCAACAACGCAACCAUGCCUUUUCUUCAAGCCUUGUCCGCUAUUGGAGAAGUUUUUGUCUCCAAGCUCAUUGACUUUUUCCUUGACAAGCUGGCCUCAUCCGACCUCCUGCAAUUCGCUACUCAAAAAAAGGUUCUUGAGGAAAUCCAGAACUUGGAGAAGGAACUGAAGCAGAUCCGUAGGGUGCUUGAUGAUGCUGAAGAGAGACAGAUGAAAGAGCAGCCGGUGAAAGACUGGUUGAUCGACCUUCAAAACUUGGCAUUCGAUGUGGAGGAUGUUUUGGACGAGUUUGCAACCGAAAUUGGCAGGCGCAAUCUGAUGAUGGAACGUCGAGGCAGCUCAAGUAAGAGAUCCAGACUCAAUAUUCCUCAGUCAUUCAAUGAUGUUCUGUUUAACAGAGAUAUAAUGUUCAAGAUAAGGGAUCUUACUGCCAAAUUGAAAGAUUUGGAACCUCAGAGAAACAAGUUAGAGUUGCGAAUGACUGAUUGGGAAAGACCCACAAGACUAGAAGAAAGACUGCAGCCUACUUCUUUGGAGAUUGAAAAUCAUGUGUAUGGCAGAGACAAAGACAAACAGAUAAUUCUUGACUUGCUCUUGAAGAGUGAUGACGAAAGAAAUUUCGUGAUUCCCAUCCUUGGGAUGGGUGGGAUUGGUAAGACAACCCUUGCCCAGCUUCUUUACAAUGAUGCUUCCAUUCAACAUCAUUUUCACCUCAAAGCAUGGGCUUGUGUUUCUGAUUAUUUUGAUGUUUUGAGAAUAACGAAAGAAAUCUUGCAAGCAAUCACUUCCGUGUCAUGCAAUGAUAAUGAUCUGAAUAUAGUUCAAGAAAAGUUACAGAAGGAGUUGUCCGGGAAAAAAUUCUUAAUUGUUUUAGAUGAUGUCUGGAAUGAGAAUUAUCAUGACUGGACUAUCUUACAAUCUCCUUUCAAAACGAGGACUCAAGGAAGCAAAGUUAUUGUGACAACAAGAAACCACGGUGUUUCAUCAACAAUGGGUGCCUUGCAUGCUCAUUCUCUAGAGCUUUUGUCAGAUGAUGAUUGUUUGUCUGUAUUUGCUCAACAUGCAUUGGGAGCAAGGGACUUUGAAGGACAUCCAAGCCUAAAGGAAGUUGCUGAGAAGAUAGUGAGAAAAUGCAACGGUUUGCCUUUAGCUGCUAAAACCCUCGGUGGCUUAUUGCGCACUAAUGUAGACCUUCAUGCUUGGGAAGAUGUAUUAGAGAGCGAGAUAUGGAAGCUAUCUAAAGAUCAGUCAAGUGUAAUCCCAGCUCUACAGCUAAGCUACCAUCAUCUUCCUCUACAUUUGAAGCGAUGCUUUAUGUAUUGUGCCAUUAUUCCCAAGGACUAUGAGUUUGAGAAGGAAGAAAUAAUCUUGUUAUGGAGGGCACAAGGGUUUCUACAAGAAGCACGAGAUAAACAGUGCAUCCAUGAUUUGGGUCACAAGUAUUUCAACGACCUAGUGUCAAGGUCCCUUUUCCAAGUGGCCAUUAACAAUAAUUCUGGAUUUGUUAUGCAUGACCUCAUUAAUGAUUUGGCUCAAUCAGUUGCUGGAGAAGUAUGCUUUAAAAUAGAAGGUAGUCAACAAAUUUCGAAGCAUGCUCGCCAUUUAUCUUACAUUGCUGAGAGGUUUGACGGCAUUAAAAAAUUUGAAGGCAUUGAUGAAGCGCAACAUUUACGAACCUUUCUUCCAUUACGCUUUUCUUCGGGCUUUCUAUGUGAUAACUAUCUAACCAAUCAUGUCCUAACGAAUUUGUUGCCAAACUUGCGAUGCUUAAGGGCAAUUUCUUUGGAAGGGUACCAAAUCACUAUGUUGCCAGAUUUUGUGGGAGAUUUGAAACUCUUAAGGUACCUAAACUUUUCUAAUAAUAGAGUUAUUAAAUGCUUGCCGGAAUCAGUUAGUACCCUUUACAAUUUAGAAACCUUUUUAUUAAAGGGGUGUCGGAACCUUGAGAAGUUACCGUCAGAGAUGGAAAAGUUGGUCAAUCUAUGCUAUCUUGAUAUCACUGGUGCAGAUAAAUUAGAAAGCAUGGCAAGCAAUUUUAGCAUGCUAACUAAUCUUCAAAAACUUUCCAUUUUUGUUUUGGGUAAAGAGAAGGGACAUAAAAUAGGGGAGUUAAUGAAUUUGUCAAAUCUCAGGGGUGAACUUUGUAUUUCAGGAUUACAGAAUAUNNNNNNNNNNNNNNNNNNNNNNNNNNNNNNNNNNNNNNNNNNNNNNNNNNNNNNNNNNNNNNNNNNNNNNNNNNNNNNNNNNNNNNNNNNNNNNNNNNNNAGCCUCGAGAUGCAUAGAUGGUUAGAUUAUCUGAUAAGUCGAGAAUUGGGAAUUUAAAAUUGCAGUGGAGCAAAGACUUUGAGAAUAGAAGAGAAGAAGUCGAGAAAAAGGUGUUGGAUGGACUUCAACCUUCUAAGAAGCUCAUGGAGCUCAGCAUUAAGUUCUAUUGUGGUGAAAUGUUGGCAAAUUGGGUGGGCGAUUCGUCCUUCAAUUGUUUACAAUCUUUAUGCCUUGAUGAUUGUAGAAAUUUAUUGUCAUUGCCAUCAAUUGGGAAAUUGCCAUUGUUGAAAAAGGUACGUAUUAAAGGGUUGUCCAGUGUAAGGACUGUGGGAGUUGAGUUCUUUGGAGAGAAUACGACCAACACAUUUUCUUCAUUGGAGAUUUUAGAGUUUGUGGACAUGCUUAAUUGGGAGAAGUGGAACUUGUGUGAAGUUGAUGAGGAAGAUAGGAAAUUCCCUAAACUUCGUGAACUCUUUAUUGGAAAUUGUCCCUUAUUGUUAGAGAGUAUGCCGGAAUACCUUCCUUCUUUGAAGAAAACUUAGAUAGGUUCAAAACUUUCCAUUGCUUUCAGAAUUAGAAAUUCAUGGUUGCCACGAGGUAAUAUAUAAAGGUUUUGUAGAUUAUAGCUCUAUAAAAAGAAUCUCGUUUGUAGGGAUUUCCAAGUUUAGUUGGGCAGCAGAAUGCUUGAGGUUAAGAUCAAUAAAAGUGGAAUCGUUUGAGAUUGGUGAUUGUAAGGAGUUGUGCUCUUCUGGAGAUAACAAUUGGGGAUUGCUAACUCAGUCCAUAUCCCCCCAAGAUUUGAUAAUUGAAAAAUGUCCGCAACUUGUAUCCAUAGCAACAGAAGAGGAAAGAGAAGAAUUGAUGCAAUUGAAGAUUCCUUCUAGCAUUGUAAAUAUGAGAAUAGAGAAUUGUGAAAGGCUAGAAAAACUAUCGACAACCUUGUACUCUCUCGCAUUACUUAUGAAAUUAGAGCUUUACGGUUGCUCAAAAUUGAUUUCUAUUGCAAGGAGCAAUUUACCUUCGAAUCUGAAAGUGCUAGGCAUUCGAAGUUGUAAAAAUUUGCAAUGUUUGUUGUUGGAUGAAGGAGAGGAUGUUGACUCCAACAAUGCAUGUGUUCUUCAGGAGUUGGGUAUUUCCGAUUGUGAAUCUCUAAAGAGAAUAAAUAGAAGUGUGUUGCCCUCCACACUGAAAGUACUUCUGAUAAACGAGUGUCCAAAGCUAGAGUCCAUAUCCCAAGAAAUUCAAGAUAACUCUUCUCUUGAGUCUAUUGAAAUCCAUGUAUGUGAUAUGCGUAAGGGUUUACCUCAAGGAUUGAACAAGCUCAAGCAUUGCAAGAGUUUAUUCAUAGCUAAUUCUUCAAAUUUGAUUUCCUUAGCAGAGAGUGGUUUGCCCACCACAAGCCUUGAACUGCUCAGCCUUUGGUAUUGUAGACGUCUCCAAGCUUUGCCUGGGAAUAUGCACAGUCUCAACGCUCUAAAAGGAUUAGCAAUAUGGAAUUGUCCAAAUGUGGAAUCCAUUCUAGAAGAGGGGAUUCCUAGCAAUCUCACUUCGCUUACAAUUGGUGGACCCAAUAUCUGGAAGGCAAAACUUGAGAGGGAUUUGCAUACACUCACUUGUCUUAAAUCUCUCUCCAUAUCAAAUGGGUGUCCAGAUGCAGUGUCAUUUCCUCAAGAUGAGAUAGGAGUCACACUGCCCUCUUCUCUCACCAAUCUCGAAAUCUCGGAUUUCCCAAAACUGGAGAGCCUAUCCUCCAAUGGCUUUCGCAACCUCACUUCUCUCCAGUGCCUGACUAUCGCAAAUUGCCCAAACCUCAAGACUCUUCCGGGAAACAAUAUGCUUUCUUCGCUUUUGGAGCUAGAAAUCAGGAGGUGUCCAAUGAUGGAAGAACGGUGCAAAAGGGAUAAAGGACCUGAGUGGUCCAAAAUUACCCACAUACCUCGUGUUGCUUUUUGGAAAUAACAGUCUGUUGAUGAUUCAGACACAAGUUCUUUGGAGAAACAAUAAUGUAAGAAUCAAAAUUGCAGGUAUGUCAAUUUGGGAUCUUUAGAGAAACAAUAGAAUAAUCUUAUUUAUUAUCUUUUUUUUACAAUUAUUGUCCUAUUUUAGAACUAGAAAAACAAAAUAUAUUGUCCUUUGGCUGGGUCAGGAAUAUUAUUAUUUUAAAAUAGAACAAUGAAUUUUUGUUUUACCCUAUCAUUUAUUAUUCAUUCCAAGGAUCUAACCAUUAAUUCCUGCUAUUGGAAAUACCGGCAUAUUGAAUCUAUGUAUGGAUUUUGCUUUUCUUUGGCCUGUAAAUUAAAGGACUAAAAAGUUUAUGAAUGGAAGUGAGAAUCAAUAUUAUAGAUGUUGUUUAUAUCCUAAUAUUAAAGGACUAAAAAGUUAACUUGGCACUGAUGAAGGAAUUGCAUUGCUCCUCUGAUAUAUUGCUAUUUGGACAUGUGAAAGUUGAGAGAUUAUGAAGCAACUUUUUUAACACGCCUUCAUAUAUUUUGUUCUUGCAGUUGUUCCUCCGUCAAAUGUGACAAAACAGCCUUUCCAACCAAAUGAUGCAAAACUGAUGAAUCAUUGAUGUUAGUUUAGCAGGAAUUUGGCCGACAAUCAGAGGAUGUCACAGAUUUAUGAUAAUUGGAAAUACUCCUGAAUUUAUUUGUUAUUAAGAGGAAUUUGGCUGAAAUCAAAUGAAGAGGAUGUCUGAG
rnacentral:lncRNA from 1 species